GGUCCUGAAUGAAAGCAGGAGAAAAAUCCGUCUCAAAAAGGAAAUUGAAAUCUUGACCAAGGAAAGUUUGAUGUCGCUGAUCACGCUUAAAGACAAAAAUCGAACUCCAUCACUGCUAAGUUUUCAGCUACAGAGUCGGAAGAAGGGUCUGGGCACGAGAGAAAAACCCAGGAGCUACCUGCUUUCAACCUGCUUGGGCGUCCGCGCAGGAAAACGGAAAGGAGGGCAGAUCUCGCUGAGCAUCGGGGUCCUGCAGCUCAUUCUGCACUGAAUCCACCCGGCCCCUAGCGUGGAGUCCGCACCCUCGUUGGGACUGGACCGACUCCCUGAGGCUGGCCCGGCGCGGCCCACCAACCUGUGACGCGAAGUCUGUCGGUACCGACCACCACCUCCUUCUCAUCGACGGCGAACAGCGGCUUGCCGUCUUGGGAGUUGAUCUGAAAUUGCUGGCUGUGAACUUCUACCAUUCUGGGACCUGCGGGACACACCAAACACCACAGCGUUACCCGGGCGCAGAGCGGAUUGGCCUUUCUCCCCGCCAGUCGAUCCUCACCCAUUAUUACAAGUGCAGUCUUCUCCCCUCAUUGCAUCAAGAAGUCGAAGAUCAAUCUACACUGGAACUUUGUUUCUACGGUUAGACACUCUCACUUUACCCGACGUCUGACAGAUUAAUGCCAUCAUCAGCAUCUUUUGAGUGCCUUCUGUAUGCACACCUCUGCAUCAGACACAGGUUGGAAACGCAGUUGACAAAAAUAGCUAAAAGAGGAUGAGAGUAGACAAAUUAAAAAAAACAAACAACUGUCCAGGUGAGUCACACGGAAAGGCCAAAGCACAAGGUUCUGAGAUGGCUGAGGGACCCCGUGACCGGAAAGAAGAGACGUGAGGGAACAAGAGGAGUGAGGAGGUGGCCUUUUUGAAAGCCUCUGAAGGAGGGGAGAGAUGUAACUGGAGAAGCUGAGUGGGGAGAGAGUGGCAGGUGGGGAGAAAGGAACAAGCCGUGGGUUAGAAGUGGGAGAGGAUAGGUUAGGUUUCCAUAUGGUUCUCUCUGCACGAGGAGGAGGGGCUCUACUACUGUUGAGCAAUAGAACAGCUUGGCUACUGUCAAACAGGUCUCUUCUAAAAUGUUCUCUUCUGCUUUUCCCAGGAAUUCCGGAUUAUAUAAAGGUAACAUGAGGUUGAUAUUCUCCAAAAACAACACAGGGCAAUCACUCGAGAAAUAAAUUAACCAAUGUCAAUGGUGGACAUGAAUUACAUUUGAUUCUUUCUGGCCCAAGGCUAAACUGACGAAUCACACCAGCAAGCACAAACGAAGAACAGCUCUCGGCUCUCCUUUGCUCCCCCAGGUGCAGUCUGAGAGUUCUUUCUCUGAUUCUGUCUCUCCACUCCCCAACGACUUCUGCAUUUCCCUCUGCAUCAGGCAGAAACUCCCAAUCCAUCAUGAGCUUCAAAGUUCUCCACAGCUCUUGCCUUGUAUAUCUGUUCUCUUCACACUCCUCCUCCUUCCAAGAUUACUUUCUCACCGUCCCUCACCCUUGCCUCUCCUUUCUUGCUCAUGCCCUUCUCCCUUCAAACCCACCAGAUCACAGCCCUACCCAACUUGAAAACCUCCUGAAAUCCCACCUCCUUUAGGAGGUUUCCCCAGAUUAAAUCUCAGCAUCUCAAAUUUCAGCAUCCCAAAUAGCAUCAUCCCAAUUGUAUCAUUAUAUGAAUUUUAUAUGUGUACAUGCAUGUAAUAUACAUUAUGUAUUAUAUAAACAUAUAGAUGAUUUAAGUAUAAAAUAUAAAUUAUCUAGCACACUCAUGUACUCCACUUACUUUUCCAUACUUUCAAUAUUACCAGUUGUACUGAUAUUUUCCCUCUGGCUCCCAUUAUCUAUAAAUAAAAUCAUAUCUGCUUGUUUCUCCUGUAAGAUUGUAAAUUCAUCUUGGGUAGGGGUCACGUCUUAUUUCUAGGGUACUCUUUCCUCCGACUGCUUAGUACAGUGCUCUGCACCCAGCU